GCCCACCUAAACACAAAAUAUCCACUAGCAGUUGACAGAGCCACGACUACAUUUGAUGAACUGAAUUACUCCCAGAUUGAGGCCAAUGCACAUGAGAGUCCGUUGAUGAUGACUUUUAGCCUGUUAACUCUGGCAGCUCUCUCGUGUCCUUCCUGACGUUGACAAGAAAUCGAGUAUACCGUAAUUUCCCGCCUAUAAGGCGCGACUUUUUUCACAAGCUUUCAACCCUGCGGUUUAUGCGGUGAUGCGGCUAAUUUGUGCAUUUUUUUCUAGCGGAAAAGGGCUGGUGGCUUAAAAAGGCGGAACCUGGCCUGGUGGGUGACGUGGAACUCGGUGAAAGAGACCGCUGACUUGGAUGCCGGUUGCAAGCGCAGACAUUGGUGGAGGGAAUAGGUGGCGCAGAACCUCAGAAGAAUAUGGAAGUAAAUAUGUGCCACCAGGAUUUGAAUUUGAAAUGUAAAGUGAUCACAUUUUCAAUCGUUGCUCCAAUUCCCUUUCUGAAAUUCACCGUCUGUGCCACCAGGCAGGGUUACUUCAGGUCAGAACUGAACAGCCAGCCAAUCGCAGUCACGCUUUCUUAGUAUAUGAUGUCACAAAGUAACUCGGGAUUAGAAAGACUACGUUUAGAAAAAAGCGUGACUGCGAUUGGCUGGCUGUUCGGUUCUGACCUGAAGCAACCCUGCCUGGUGGCACAGACGGUGAAUUUCAGACAGGGAAUUGGAGCAACUAUUGAAAAUGUGAUCACUUUACAUUUCAAAUUCAAAUCCCGUUUUCUGUGGCAUUUCAAACUCAAAUCCCGGUGGCACAUAUUUACUCCCAUAGAAGAAGGAAGCAAAUUCUAAAAGCGUCUGAAAACAAGCCCGUCUUUCGGUCUCGACUCGGCAGCAUGUGGCCAGCUGCAGACUGACAUGAGGAGAAGCGCUUUAAGGGGGGAUGUUUUCAGACCAGGCGCUCACCUGACCGAAGAUGUCGGGGAGCUGAGGAAAACAGAGAAAUGCCCUUUACUGACUGCUACCAAUAUUUAACCCGUCCUUGAAAAACGCCAUCUGUGCAAUGUCAAAUUCACACCCAAAAACAUCUCAGCACAACGCAUCGAAACCAGAUUGAAAGCAAAAACAAAAUCCAUUUUCCCAAUUCUUGGUCAAAGAAUCUGCUGUGGCCACUGAUGAUUUAAAGGGACAGAUCAGUCUCGGGUCAAAAUGUUACAGGAUGUAAACGUUUUAAAAAAAGAGGUUUUAUAAUGUGUAACUGUGCUAUUUGCUUGGUGUAACUUUCAAAAUAAACUUCAGUUGGCAUCUCAAAUCUUUGUGUUGAACCAUCUGAAGCACUUUUUUCAUCACUAUUUUUGCAUUUAAACUCCUCAUUUGAGCGCAUGAUCAGAGACACGAUCACCAUGAAUAAUCUUUUUUUUAAGAAAAUAAACUUUAAAAUACAUUACAUUUGGAACUAAGAGUAGGACAAAUAUGCGAAACAACAAAAAUAACAUUUUUAAAAGAUUUAAAUUAUGAUACCUUGUGGUGAAAUCUAAUUAAAUGCCUUUUUUCCCAGUGCACAACUUAGUUAAAAUUAAUCUUUUAAAUUAUACAUCUUACACGUGCGAGCAGAUCAAUGUGUAGGAGACUUUGAUACUGAAGUUAAUUUGUUUACAUUUUAUUAUUUAUUAUAUUGUGAUGCCAAUAGCUCCAAUUAAGUGCAAUGUACUGUCGUAUGCAUGUUUUGUUUUUGUUUUUUUUUUUACCUUUAAGAGGCACGUCCACUUGAAUGACAUCAUUAACCGGAUUCAGGUUGCUCUGCACAUGAGCAUCUGGACGCGAGCUGUGGCCAACAGCAGCUCCUUGAGAUUGUUGUCAUUUUGUAUUUGCCAGUCUUUGACUGUUUGUCCCGCCGCAUCACGGUGCCCAAAUUUCCCUCCCGGCCCCCACUUCACUCGAGCUGCAGCAUAUUUGAAGCUCGCUCAGAGCGGAAAUUUUGAGGCACAGGUACCGCUACUGUAGUGACUUGACACUGCACAGAUUUUCCUAAAAGAAGACUGAGCCCAAAACCAAAGAUAGUGGAACAGCAAAAAAAAAAAAAAAAAAAAAGGGGGCCAUAUACCGAGUGAGGGUUGUCAUGGUGUCGAUUGGGUUGCCGAUUGUCAUUCAGGUGCAACAAAACCCCCUUGAGGGUCUUUUUCUGAACACAGUACGGACACGCAUCAAACAGCUGGCGACGGUCGGCCGCCGUGGGCACAUCCCCACGCGCCCAAAAAAAAAAUAAUAAAAAUGUUUGCCCAGCCCAGACCGGCGUGGGCCUCAAUCACCAUUCUUGCGCGGUCAGCCAAUUACGUGUACG